rnacentral:rRNA from 1 species
AUGGGCACCGCUUUUUCCUCCUCCUCUUCCACCCCAGAGUCCAGAGCUAUGGCGCUCGCCAAGGCCAAGGAGAUCGUCGCCUCCGCUCCCGUCGUCGUCUUCAGUAAGUCUUACUGCCCUUUCUGUGUACAAGUGAAGAAGUUGUUCACGCAGCUGGGAGCAAGUUUCAAGGCCAUUGAGUUGGACACUGAAAGCGAUGGACCUGAGAUUCAGUCAGCUCUUGCUGAAUGGACUGGGCAGAGGACUGUUCCCAAUGUCUUCAUCAAUGGAAAACACAUCGGUGGCUGUGACGAUACUGUUGCACUGAACAAGGGAGGGAAGCUGAUUGCUCUGCUGACAGAGGCUGGAGCGAUCUCCGGUUCUUCUUCGAAGACCACCGUCACUCCUUAG